rnacentral:rRNA from 2 species
CAGGACGAACGCUGGCGGCGUGCUUAACACAUGCAAGUCGAACGAUGAAGCCUAGCUUGCUGGGUGGAUUAGUGGCGAACGGGUGAGUAACACGUGAGUAACCUGCCCUGAACUCUGGGAUACGCGCUGGAAACGGCGUCUAAUACUGGAUAUGACCAUUCCUCGCAUGGGGGGUGGUGGAAAGUUUUUCGGUUUGGGAUGGACUCGCGGCCUAUCAGCUUGUUGGUGAGGUAAUGGCUCACCAAGGCGUCGACGGGUAGCCGGCCUGAGAGGGUGACCGGCCACACUGGGACUGAGACACGGCCCAGACUCCUACGGGAGGCAGCAGUGGGGAAUAUUGCACAAUGGGCGCAAGCCUGAUGCAGCAACGCCGCGUGCGGGAUGACGGCCUUCGGGUUGUAAACCGCUUUUAGUAAGGAAGAAGGGGCAUCCUUUGGGGUGUUUUGACGGUACUUGCAGAAAAAGGACCGGCUAACUACGUGCCAGCAGCCGCGGUAAUACGUAGGGUCCGAGCGUUGUCCGGAAUUAUUGGGCGUAAAGAGCUCGUAGGCGGUUUGUCGCGUCUGCUGUGAAAUCUCAAGGCUCAACCUUGAGCUUGCAGUGGGUACGGGCAGACUGGAGUGCGGUAGGGGAGAAUGGAAUUCCUGGUGUAGCGGUGGAAUGCGCAGAUAUCAGGAGGAACACCGAUGGCGAAGGCAGUUCUCUGGGCCGUAACUGACGCUGAGGAGCGAAAGCAUGGGGAGCGAACAGGAUUAGAUACCCUGGUAGUCCAUGCCGUAAACGUUGGGCGCUAGAUGUGGGGACCUUUCCACGGUUUCCGUGUCGUAGCUAACGCAUUAAGCGCCCC